rnacentral:lncRNA from 1 species
CUCCAGCCCACAAGUGUGAACAAGAGAGACAGAGCAAGGCAGAAACAAGGAAAAUGCCACUUAUAUUUGAACACUAUACAAAUAUUCCUUUAAAAAAACAUUUCUUUUAAUUUUUCUAAAUUUAAUUAUUUAAUCAUUACAGUUGAAAAGGUCUCAAAAUGACUGAAACCAGUACUGAAAUGUUCUUUAUAAAAUUAUUUUAGCAUUUUCUAUUUUGACUUAUUUUUCAUAUAUAUAUAUAUAUAUAUCACCAUGAUCACCGUGACCGACCAGGCUAUCAGAUGUUUGUACACAUUGCUGGUCACAAUAUAUAUAUAUAUAUAUAUACACACACAUACAUAUAUAUGCUUAAUGCACUAUAAAUGUGCAAUUUUGGAUCGUGCAAUUAACCGAAAUGCUGCAUAGGCCAAUAUGAAUUGACUUUGAUAAUUAAUAAAUAAAUUGAUUAUGCUAUGUAUGUACUCUCCAUUUUCUUUAUAUUGUUAAAUUUUUCCCCCUACAUUGAAAACAAUGGAAACCUCUAUAGCGACAACUGGAAUUUUGGAAGUAUAAGGUACUAAUAUUGAAGAAGAACCAAUGAUAGAUUUUAUCUGCCUCCCUUUGGGAGUUAUAGAAAUCUACAAUAUAGGAUUUCUUCAAUUACAAUUUACCUAGCAUUUUUAAGAGUAGAAUGCAUCGGGUCAUGCCAGGUCCAGUUUUUAAAAUUUAAACUCCAAUUAAGCAAAAUUUACAGAAAACUCACAUUCUGGUGUGUAUGUCAAAUGCUUUUCUUAGUCUGGUUUACACCACACGCAAACGCACACACACAGUGUGCAACGAAUAAAAUGAAAGUAAAUAGCGACAGAGUGAUUUGAGGAAGACUAAACUGAAAGUAUUUAAACCACUACUCAAAAAAUAAAAAAACACAGCAAACAGAAACAAAUAAAUACAUAACCAUUUACUCCUCACACAAUUUCUUCAAUUAGAAUUUACCUAAGAUUUUUCAAAGUACUCCAUUCGCUCAUGCCAUAAUAUAUUUCUUUCAAUUUCACCCCCAAUUAAGACAAAAUUCGAGAAAACUCAAUAUUUUAACAUUUCACUCCGAAAGCAUUGAUGUACAUGUGUGCGUGCGUGAGUGUGUGUGUGUGUGUGUGUGUGUGUGUGUGUGUUUGAUGGGUUGUGUGACACAGAAAGUGUGGUGUGUAAGUGAAGUGCUUUUGUUAGUGUGUGUAAAGAGACAGACAGAGUGAAAGACAGAAAUAACUCAAGUUUUCACUAUGAUAUCAUCACGUGCGAAAAAAUUCGAAGGGUUUUGAACAAUUGAGAUACAGAUGUCACGCCUGUAUUGAAACCAUUGCUAAGCUGCCGUAAUUGCUUAAUUAAGACUUUGUUUAAAUUGAAAGGGGCAAAUAUGUGACGAGGUUGAAAAAAAAUACCCCAGAAAAAAAAAUGUACUGCUGGUAUUUAUAUAAUUCACUACUAUUUUGCUACAAUGUCAUGAAAAAGAAGAAAUUUUGGUAUGUAAAUCGAAUUCGCCACCCCCUUUUCCCUGUUCGCGUUUGUGUAAAAAAAAUUAUUAUUUAAGUUUUAAAAAUUAUUUACUUUGUUCAAAAAAUAUUAAUAUUAAUUAAUUUUCAAGAAUUAUUUAAUUUUAUUCUGUAAAAUAGUAAUUAAUUCAUUUAUCUGUAAAUCCGCGAGGUUGUUACUCAGGCACCUACAAUGGUAACCUUCAACUAACACUAUCUCCUCCGAGACCCUGCGGCGCAAGUUGACCAAAAUUGAGAGUAUGGUAGAAGAAGGGUUGCUCUUCCUUCCGUAGAACAUAAAAUUCAAAUCGGACCAUGUUAACACCAAAAAUUAUUUACAUCAAAAAGAUGCUUUUUUCUAUGAAAAUCCCUAUUUUUUACGAUUUUUUCACUGCUGUGUCGCCACUUUUCGGUGUAUUUCGACCAGAAAAAUGUUCACAAAAUUUUUACUUUUCAAAAUUACAAUUCCAGCGGGUCGAAACAAACCCGAGCAACGCCGGGCGAUACUGCUAGUAUAUAUAUAAAAUAUAAAUUAGAGUUAAAACCGCUAUUAUGCAACUCAAACAGUGAUAGACAUAAACCAAUACAUAAAUAACAAAUAUAUAUAUAUCUAAUUUUUUUUAAUAUAUAACUUAUAACUAGAUCUCAAAAAGUAUAAAAUGAAUGAUAAAUAUAUAAUAUAUAUAUAUUUAUCAUUCAUGUUAUACUUUUUGAGAUCUGGUCAUAAGUUAUAUAUUUUUUAAAAAUUAUAUUAUAUAUAUAUUUGUUAUUUAUGUAUUGGUUUAUGUCUACCACUGUUUGAGUUGCAUAAUAGUGGUUUUAACUCUACUUUAUAUUUUAUAUAUUUAUACUGUGAAAUUUGAUUUAAUAAUGAAUUGAAUUUUUCCCUGUAAGUUUGGAGUUAUACUCCCUACUAUUAUUAUUAUUAUUAAUAUUAUUAUUAUUAUUAUUAUUAUUAUUAUUAUUAUUAUUAGUUAUGUAUAUAUAUAUACAUAUGCAUAUAUAUAAAUAUAUAUAUAUUGUAUUUAUAUAUAUGUGUGUGUGUGUGUGUGUGAAUAUAUAUAUAUAUAUAUAUACACAUAUACAUACAUAUAUAGAUAGAUAGAUAGAUAGAUAGAUAGAUAGAUAGAUAGAUAGAUAGGUAGAUCGAUAGCUGUAGAUAUAAAGAUCAUUAAAUAAAUGGAGUUAAAUUCAGUGUUAUUCAAAUUCUUUUACUUCUGACAUAUGUUUCAAAGACAACAUUGAUAUUAUUCCAGAAGGAAUAAAAUGGUGUAAAACAAUGCAAUUUUCUCAUCAGGGAAAGAAAGAAAUGAAACACAUAAAUAAGACAUUUUAACAGAAUGUGAUGACUGCACAUAUGAUGAAGGGAAUGCUAUCAAGUUUUUCUUUUUUUAACCAUUAGUAGAUAUAAAAUCAAAGUUAGUUUAUAGAAAGAGAAGGAGGAGAAAGAAAGAAAUUAGCAGAACACUAAUAGUGGAGAGAUAUAGAGGGAUAGAUGAAUAGGAAUAAAGCAUGAAGGAAUGAAAGUAGAUAUAUUUAGUGGAAGUGCAAUGUAAGAAGGCAGUCAAAGGUCGAAUUUUACGGAAUGAACUAAAGGUAUGUUUCUGCCAAUGUUUGCAAUGAUAAACGCAUUCUAUAAACAUGUUUACAAGGGGAUUCUUUGAGAAUAGGAUAAAAAACAUUUCACUAUUACAAAGGGGGCAAAAAGAUCUACCUUUGUCAUAAGGUAAAGAAAUAGAGAUUAUAUUCCAUUCCAAGUUAAAUUAUUUAUUAUGGUAUCGAAAAGAUCAUAAUAUAACAAAUAAAGAAAAUAAAACAUACAAUCAAUGAAGCAACAAAAGAAUCAGUAAGAUGAUACAUGUUGAUCUUAUUGGAUAUUUCUGUUUAUUUAGUAACCUACAAUCAAGUGGUUAUUUCACAGACACCAAACUAUAAAUUUCACAGGAUACAACCUUAAAGUUGACACCACUCUACUAAAUGCAGGAAAUUUCUGUCUCACUAUUGGCUAAAAAUACAGUUUUUUUUAAUCUUUAAACUUCUAUAACUUUUUCACCAAUUUUUUUCUCCACGAUGUCAUACCUUCAUAGCAAUUAGACUGAAAAACUAUAUUAUUAUAACCGAUUUCAGAUUUUUUACUGUCUUUUAAAAAAUGCAUAUUUUGUGAAUGAAAAAAGCGAGAUCCCCAUCUGAAACAAAGAUUUCUAAUGAGACCUCUGUAACAAGAUAUCUAGAAUGCAUAUAUUGUGUUUAGAAGGAAUGUUCUUGAAAUAAUAUGAAAUUAAAAAUUUUGGUAUCUUCAUUAAAGGUGCAGAUGUGGCUGGGUGGUAAGAAGUUUGCUUCCCAUCCACAUGGUUCUGGGUUCGGUCCCACUGCAUGGCACCUUGAGAAAGAGUACCAUGGCCCCGGACCAACUAGAGCUUUGUGAGUAGAUUUAGUUGAUGAACACUGAAAGAACCUCAUACGAUAUAUAUAUAUAUAUAUGUAUAUAUCUUUGUGAAUGUAUUUUGUGUUUCUGUUUAUCCGCCACCAUUGACAAUAGGUGUUGGUUUAUUUAUAUCCUUGUGACUAUGUGGUUUAGCAAUAAGACUGAUAAAAUAAGCACUAGUCUUUAAAAGAAAGGGGGUAUCGGGGUGGAGUUUCUUGACUAAACCCUUCAAGGCAGUACUCCAGCAUGGCAACAGUCUAAUGACUGAAACAAGUAUAAAAGAGUCUACAGGGAUACCAGGAUAUCUAAAAUUCUUUACUUAUAAUGGAAUAUUGAAUGUGUGUGAAAGUCUCGAUUGAAAUUAUUGUAAGGGGAGGGGAAACCCUUUUCUCCUGUCCCUUUCUAAGGUUUCAUUUCUGUGCAAAUAAGUGAAAGCAGCAUCAUUGAAGUCUGUGUCUGUUGAGACUUGCUUACAUUUUAAUUAAAUCUUUUACUUGUUGAUAAUUAAAUAAAAAUUUUUUACUUGUUGAAAACCUUUUGUGGCCUUUAACCCUUUUGUUACUGUAUUUAUUUUGAGAUGCUCUGUGUUUUUUUCAAUUACUUUAAAUAUAACAACGAAUUUAGUACAUUCAGCUAAUGUUAGGAACUUAAAUUGUGACCAAGGUUUGGUGAAAAAUUUUAAUUCAAAACUUAUGUAAACAAGACAUUUGUACUCAGAGGCAGAGCCAGUUUCAGCCGGGUUGGCAAUGAAAGGGUUAAAGGCUAAUUUGAAAGGUUUAGCAUUGACAGUGACCAUAUCUGUCCUUAAUACUUUACCCAUUUUAUGUUCAAAUCAGCCAAGUUUAGCUUCUUACACGAAUCCUGCAGUGUCAUUUUAAAAAUAAACAAUCAAUUCAAAAUCUGGAAGCUACAUGGUAAUGGUUUCAAAUUUUAGGGGAGGAGUAAGUUGAUUACAUCACCCCUGUGUUCUGCUGGUACUUAUUUUAUUGACCUGACCCCAAAAGGAUGGAAGGCAAAGCCAACCUCUGCAGAAUUUAAAUUCAGAACAUAAAGACAGGGGAAAAGCCGCUAAGCCCUAUUCCUGGCAUGCUAGCAAUUUGGCCAACUCACCCACCUUUAGAAAGCCAGGAAAUAAUGCAAAAUGAAUUCAAAACAAUGUAAAUAAAUAAGCAUUACAUUUAACAAUGUAAUUUGAAUGCUAAGGGGUUAAUUUGCACCACAUAAAGAUGACUGGUGAAGGCUGUCAGCUUGCUACCAGUUAUUCUUAGCAGCUGAAAAACACAAAAAAGGAUUGCUGAAGUGGGUAACACACCAGAGCAAAUAUAUAAUGUUAAUGAAACUCAAUUCCUGUUAGAAUAUUUUUCUCAAGAAGAACAAUCAACACCAGAAUUUACAACCCCAAAAACAAAAAUGAAAAAACAUCUCUGGGGGUAGGAGCAAACUGGGGAUAAGAAGUCAAAAGCUUUACUUAUGUACCACUCCAAAAGUAUAAGGGCUUUCAAGGGUUAUGCAAUAUUUAAUCUAACUGAUUUGGCAUUCAAAUAAGACAUAGAUGGCUCAACCUUCCUAGUUCUCUUUUACAGAGCUUAGAAAAACUGAAGGACCACUGCAAUAAGUAUGUGAAUCUGAGAGAGGAAUAUGUUAAAUAAAAUCAUAAUUAAUUGAUCCUCCUGUAAUUUCUCUAGCCCAAAGCCAGGAACAUUUCAGCGCCUCCCUGCAACAUUUCCAUCAAAGUGCUGCUCCUUUUAGACAAUGUACCAGGCAACCCAUUGAACUCUUUUGUUUUCAUUUGUGAGAGGCAAAAACCUUGGUUAUCCAAACAUCAAUUAUCGGAAUCUCUGAUUAUCCAAACAGAUCAUCCACCUCCUAUAAUUAUGUUCCCUAAUGCCUUUGUUUAUGAUCAAAUAAGUUGCUUUCACAAUCAGUUAUCCAAACAAAAUACUCCCUGCCCACUUUGCUUAGGUCACUGUGAUCUAACUUCACAUACACACACACAAAUACAUACCAUUGUAUUGUAUAACAUUAUAUGUACAUAUAUAUGUACACACAAAAUAUUAAUGCGUUUAGAUUAAGAAUUCUCAAGAUCUUUCAUCUGAGAGAUCACUUCUAUGUGUUAACUCUGUGAAGGCUUGUGGCUUAGUGGUUAGGGUACUUGGCAUAUGAUCGCGAGGUCGUGGGUUCAAUUCCAGGGGACGCAUUGUGUCCUUAAGCAAGACACUUUAUUUCACAUUGCUCCAGUCCACUCAGCUGUCAAAAAGGAGAACUACCUGUAUUUCAAAGGGCCAGCCUUGUCACACUCUGAGUCAUGCUGAAACUCCCUGAGAAUUAUAUUAAGGAUACACUUGUCUGCGGUGAGCUGGCAGAAACGUUGGCACACUGGGCAAAACGCUUAGCAGUAUUUCUUCUGCCGCUACAUUCUGAGUUCAAAUUCCGCCGAGGUUGACUUUGCCUUUCAUCCUUUUGGGGUCGAUUAAAUAAGUACCAGUUACGCACUGGGGUCGAUGUAAUCGACUUAAUCCGUUUGUCUGUCCUUGUUUGUCCCCUCUGUGUUUAGCCCCUUGUGAGUAGUAAAGAAAUAGGUACAUGUGUCUAUGGAAUGCCCAGCUACAUGUGCAUUAAUUCCACAAGCAGGUUGUUCUGUUGAUCGGAUCCACUGCAUCGUUGAUCAUUGUGACCGACAGAGUGCCAAUGCCAGUUGGUGUUAUUGCUGUACGUGUCUGCAGGUUUUCUGGCAAAAUCAUUUUCGAAAAUGUAGACCAUUCAAGAUAUCUGAUGAAUUAUUCUGUCUAUCAUCUCUGCCAGGUUUUUCAAAUAAACACACACACACACAUUAAGACAAGAAAACUAAACCAUUUACGCUUAUUCUUUUUCUAAAGGUAACUCAAAGUCUUUCCCGUUCGGCCCUCGUGGCUUUAAUAAUCCUAAGUGUGGUCCAGUCUGUAUGAUGUACUGUGAAUUUGGAAAUGAGCUGGACGCAAGAGGAUGCCCAAUAUGCAAAUGUAAACAGUGAGUAGAGUCAAUCUUAUCUUCUAAAAUAUUAUUCUGGCGAGGUGCAAGCAUGAGGGUAACCUUAAAAGAAAAUGGUCCCUUAUCUAUGGAAUGGCAUCAUGACAUAAUCAGUUCUACACAUAAUAUUUAUAUUGCGUAUAUUUCUGUGUAUGUUGUGUGUGUGUGUGUAUGUAUAUAUAUAUAUAUACAUAUAUAUAUAUAUAUACAUACAUAUAUAUAUACACAUAUAUAUACACAUAUAUAUGUGUGUAUAUAUAUAUAUAUGUAUAUAUAUAUAUAUGUACAUAUAUAUAUAUAUAUAUAUAUAUAUAUAUGUAUACAUAUAUAUAUACAUGUAUAUAUAUAUAUAUGUAUACAUAUAUAUAUACAUGUAUAUAUAUAUAUUUAUUUAUAUAUAUAUAUAUAUAUAUAUAUAUAUAUAUAUAUAUAGUUACAAGUUGAGAUAGGGGUUGUAAGUGCAACCCUCCAUGGGAUAACAUAUAUCCAAUAUACUGCUAGUGAAGUACCCAACAAAGUUAAUACAUAAAUGUUAAGAAUUGCGAUGCAAUUAAUUCAUUUACUGUAUUAUAUGGGCAAAGGUAAAAUGUUUUACUACAAAUUAAUAAUACAAAAUAAGAAAAUGGAGAAAUACAUCUUAAUCAAUGAUCAACUACCAGAUAAUAUCCAAUCACAUAAUUUAUUAAACCACUACACAUGAAAAUUAAGAUCAAACAUACUAAUAUAGACCAAAACAAUGUACAUGAAAGAGUAAUAUGAUACAAUAAGUACAGUAUGUAUAAGUGAAUAUAAAUAAAUAUAAAUAUAAAUAUAAACUACAUCUUACAGCUGUUACGGCCAUGCAGAUAUGGGUGUCUCAUUAUGCUCAUAUUAGCCAUGUGUGAUAGGUCAAUAUGUAGUUAUAAAGGAGACACUUACAAAAAUAUCCCAGGCCUCUUCAGAGAUUAUGAAAUACAAACUCAUAUUUAAUAUAGAGAUAUAUAAAUAUAUCUCUAUAUAUAUAAACAACAAAAUGUCUGUGUAUCUUUGUGUCUGUGUGUCCUUUAUACAAAUCCACAGUUUUUCACAUAAAAGGCUCGCAUUUUCUGUGGGCUUUCAAAUCUGUCUGAGGGUGAUUGUGAAGACCUUUUCAUUUCCCCAGUCACCCCAGAAAGCCAUUAAAAAAAUCGAUAAACCGACCCCUUAUGCCAUUAGUUAUGACCGUAUCCAUUCAAAAUCGCUAAAACAUAGAAUUUUGUAUGCGGUGUGUGCGUACAACUAGAUACGCCAAUAGACUGCCAGCUGUUUUUUGAUUGGACAGAAAUAAUUUUACCCUUGACAGUUGGAUGCACGUGCACAUUUGCAGACAGUCUCUUUGACUCAGUGCACUUUUGUGUUUUGCAAAGACACGUUAUCAUGUGUUUUGGCUUUCAAACGUGAACGCUUUUCUGAUUUGAGAAAUGCAGGGAAUAAUUAACGAGUUAGAAUCUCCAAAGCUACAUUCUUCAAUGGUCCUUAAUCCAAUGCAGUUGUCCUCCUCCGAAACAAACCUGCCAUGCACAUCUCCACAGCCAAUUUCCUCUACAGCCAUGUCAUUUAGAACCCCUAGGAUGGGUUAGUGGUAGAUCAGGAUUGAAAGCUGCCUAUUAGAGGCUCCCAAGCCCCCUUCCGUAAGGUUAGUCUAGGUUUUAGUUGAAGGCUUAGUUGUGUUCCGAACCUAACCCCCUCUGUUUCAGUGGAUCGGGAGCCCAAUUAGCCUUCCGGCAAAAAGGCAUACCUAUUAUUUAUACCUUAGUUAACCUUGAUGUCUUACGUGCUUCUCUGCGUCAUGAACUUAUAACCAUUGACCUUACUGCGUUACUUGCUUCGAUGCGUCAUACUCAUAAAAUCACUCUGAAUGCUGUUUUUUAUGCUCUAAUUGCUCUGCCUUUUUUCCGGAAUCAGCACUUUUCUUCCCACCAUUGCUAUUCACUCAUAGGACAAGGCGGUUGGUAUCAAAAGGGCUGGCAUGUGCAACUUGGUCACCUCUACCAGUCAAACUCCCAACCCAUGCGUUCCCGUCGCGACACUGAUUGCACAGAACUGGGUUGGGUGUGAAACCAAAACUCAACAAAUGAGUUUUAUGCAUAUUUUCAAAAUCCUGCUAUUUUGCAGCCAAAUUCAAGUUUUUCGCUUUCUUCUGCCUCCUUUUUUUGUCCGACUAAUGGCAUGUGCACAGACCCACUAAUUUUCCGAAGUCCAAUGAAUAUUAAUUACUCUCAUAUAAAGCUCCAACUACCUCAUAAACAACAAAACUGGCUCAAGCUGAAAUGUGAUAAGAAACUUCGCUCUUGAUUUAGUGAGAAAUUUUUACUGCGACCCGGCAACGAACAACAAGCAUUAGCACUAGACCCGGCAACGCUGGGUCAUAGUGCUAGUAUAAUUAUAAAUUGAGAAAAAGUCAGAAUUUGGGGGAAAAAAUCCUUUUAUUUCUUCAUUAUUAUUAGAGCUUUCGUUCCUUUCUAGAACUUGUUAAAUACAAUUUUAUUUGACAAGUCGUAGAAACGAACGAAAGCGCUAAUAAUGAAGAAAUAAAAGGAUUUUUUUCCCAAAAUUCUGACGACUUUUUCUCAAUAGUCAAUUUCUGUAUAUCACACCUAACACUCUGUACAUAUAUAUAUAUGUAUAUGUGAGAAGACCUUGCAGGACAAGUGAGACCAGAACACAUGGCCUUUCCCUCGGAUGUACCUUAUGCAUACCUUUCCUUCUUUGGACACAAAACUCUACUUGCGAAGACCUGUUGAGGCAAAUGAAAUCAAAAUCGAUAAAAAGAAAUCAAUGGAAAUUGUAGUUAUGAUAUCCGUGCCAGAGGGACGUAAAAAGCACCAUCCAAACGUGGCCGUUGCCAGCGCGGCCUCGACAGGCUUCCGUGCCGGUGGCACGUAAAAUGCACCAACCGAUCGUGGCCAAUGCCAGCCUCACCUGGCACCUGUGCCGGUGGCAUGUAAAAAGCACCCACUACACUCAUGGAGUGAUUGGCGUUAAGAAAGGCAUCCAGCUGUAGAAACACUGCCAGAUCAAACUGGUGCAGCCCCCUGGUUUGCUAGUCCCCAGUCAAACCAUCCAACCCAUGCCAGCAUGGAAAACGGACGUUAAAUGAUGAUGAUGAUGAUGAUGAUGAUAUAUAUAUAUAUAUAUAUAUAUAUAUAUAUAUAUAUAUAUAUAUAUAUAGCAUUAUUAAAUCUCAGAGCGAGAUGUAAACAGUAACCGCUCAACAAUGUAAAGUAUAAAAGCCAUCUCAAUAUGGCUAACCACAAAGUGGGGGUGUUACUGUAGUUUUUAGCCCCAGGUGAUCGACGUCUCCAGCUGGCUUUAGACACACUUUCUGUGCCCUUCAGGUAUUUGCAAAGGGAAGCCAUCCCUUCCUCGUAAGCCUUAGUGAUACACACCGGACCGCGGUUUUGAGAUUAUUGUCUCGGCUUUUAUAAUUUACGUUGUUGAGCGGUUACUGUUUACAUCUCGCUCUGAGAUUUAAUAAUGCUUACAGUUAGUUUUUCGAAAUCAGUGGCAGACAUCACUAGAAAAACUCUUAUAUAUUUGCAAAGCAAGCUUUGCCUUUCAUCGUGACCUGGUGGUUACCGCCCAUUGAUAAGAGACAAUAAUCUCGAAACCGCGGUCCAGUGCGUAUCACUAAGGCUUACGAGGAAGAGAUGGCUUCCUUUUGCAAAUACCUGAAGGGCACAAAAAGUGUGCCUAAAGCCAGCUGGAGACGUCGAUCACCUGGGGCUAAAAGCUACAGUAACACCCCCACUUUGUGGUAAGCCAUAUUGAGAUGGCUUUUAUACUUUACGUUAUAUAUAUAUAUAUAUAUAUAUAUAUAUAUAUAUAGUAAUCCUUUGCUGUAUCACGGUUCAUUAUUUAAGCUUAUGUCAAUUCCUCCGUGGUGGAAUAUACAGUACAGUACAGUAUUAUUUUUCCUUUGAAUUUUCACCUAUGGUGGGAGGUUUUGGAACGUAACACCUGCAAUAGUCAAGGGAUUAGUGUAUGUGUGUGUGUGUAAAAAGGUUGAAUCAAAUUUUGUCCUUUAGUUUGGAGGAUUCCAAAAAAGAUUUGUAAUAUAGAUUCUUCAUAUUUUGCUGGUAGCAUACUGGUGAAAGAGUGCGCAAAUGAAAAUAAUACUUGUAUAUGGUGAGUUGUGAAUUUAUGGAAAGGAGUCCCAUAAAACUCAGCAAAUUUCUUAAAAACGGAGAAGAGAAAAUGUUGAAAUGUCAUCUUCUCUUCUCCAUUUUUAAGAAAUUUGCUGAGUUUUAUGGGAUUCCUUUCCAUAAAUUCACAACUCACCAUAUACAAGCACAUAUAUAUAUAUGUAUAUAUAUAUAUAUAUGUGUGUGUGUGUAUAUGUAUAUAUUUAUAUAUAUAUAUAUGUGUGUGUGUGUAUAUGUAUAUAUGUGUAUAUAUAUAUAUAUAUACACACACAGAGAAAGAAAGAGAAAGAGAGAGUGCUGUUCUACACAGUUUCCAUCUACGACAUCCUCUUAGAAGGCAUUGGUCAGUCUGGCGCCAUAGUAGAAGAAAACACUUGACCAAUGUGUUAGCAGUGAGUGCUGAACUACCUAGGCUGUGUGGUAAGUAGCUUGCUUACCAACCACAUGGUUCCAAGUUCAUUCCCACUAUGUGGCACCUUGGGCAAGUGUCUUCUACUAUAGCCUCGGGCCGACCAAAGCCAUGUGAGUGGAUUUGGUAGAUGGAAACUGGAAGAAGCCUGUCAUAUAUGUGUAUAUAUAUAUAUGUAAGUGUGUGUGUGUUUGUCUCCCCACACAUCGCUUGACAACCGAUUUGGUGUGUUUACGUCCCUGUAACUUAGCGGUUUGGCAAAAGAGACCGACAGAAUAAGUACUAGGCUUACAAAGAAUAAGUCCUGGGGUCGAUUUUCUCGACUAAAGGUGGUGCUCCAGCAUGGCCACAGUCAAAUGACUGAAACAAAUAGAAGAGUAAAAGAGUUUGGCUGCAAAGUGAACUUUUCUAACUCAGACAGAAAUGUCUUUACCAAAUACAAGAAAUUAUAUUAAAACAAAACAGAACAAAAAAACUUUAAAGAAAGCAAUAAUGCUAUAGUGUUGUUGUGGUUGUUGUUGUUGGUGUUGUUGUUAGUGUGACUGUAUGCUUAGCCUUCUCUUUUUUAUCAUUUCAGGGCACCAAAAUGAUGACAGCAAAUGAUGACCAGCUCUGAAUAGUGGAACAUGACUCAUGAUUAAUUUAUAGGAAGAUGACCACGGUGAUGAAGAUGAUGAUGGUGGUGGUGGUGGUGGUGGUUGUGUGAGUGAUGGUAUUAGUGAAGAUGAAGAUGUUCAUGAUGAUGAUUAUGAUAAUGG